AACUUGAUCUCAAAUCAGAUAAGAGUACCCGCUGAACUUAA
rnacentral:rRNA from 8 species